GAGAAUUGCCCAAGCUGAAGCGAUGGCUCGUGCUGAUAUUCUGAAAUUCCAGCCUGAGAGCGGAUUGACUCUAAACUCCGAUGGUAUUUUAGGUUCGUUGACCUCGGAACUACCUGCAGAGGGACUGGAUUUGAGUGUAAUUUUUCCAGCUGAAGAGUCAUGAACCAUAUUGAUACUACACAUUUUUGAUCACUUAGUUGAGGAAAAUGUAUAAAUAUUGUUUGCAAGUAUAGAGUUCUAUCAUCUAUGUUGAAAAUUCAUACACUUGAAUUUUGCAUCCGAUUCUAAAGUCGUUUCUUAUUCUUAAAUCACUUUUCGUUCCGUUGAUGAAAGAUAGAGAUCGGACUUUCUAACUGAGAUCGAGUGGAAUGAA
rnacentral:misc_RNA from 1 species